rnacentral:lncRNA from 1 species
UCUGGAACCCAAAACCACCAAUGUGUUUUGCUUGUAGCGGCUAGUUUAUGAUACUUUGUAUCUGGAAUAGACUGAGACUCAGGCUAAACCAGGGAGAUUUCCCUGCCCUCUCCCCCAACACUGGGCCUCAUUUAAAGGACACUAAUCCCAUCUCUCAGUGGAGAUGCCAGGCUAAAGGCUCUUUACUUUGAUAAGUUCUUUCAAUAUUGUUUCUCAACGAAGUCACCAGGGCUUGGAAAGGGAGAGUGACAGUACAGUUCUGGGCAGAGUCGGAACGUGUAUGCCACACGGACCCAGAGCUUCACAUCAGAUUCUGGCCAGUUCAAAAGUGAUGACCCAGAAUAAGUUAGCAUCUUAGCAUGUCUUCUAGGCUCUGCCCAACAGUUACCCCAAACCGCCAGGUAAACCUUGCUUACUCUAAAAAGGACUGUUUGGUCUCUCCCUCUCCCUCUCGCUCUCCCUCUCCCUCUCCCUCUAGCUCUCUGACUCUCUUCUCUCUGACCCUGUUCUCCCUCUCUCCCUUUCCCCUCACCCCCUCUCCACAUUCCCAUUCCCAGACAGCCUCUUCCCUUCUUUUAUUCUCUUUUUCUCUGUCCUUCUCUGUCCUCUCUCUUUCUUUGCCUCUACUCCCUUUUCAACUCCCCUUCCCUACCCAUAAAUAAACUCUAUUCUAUAUUAGACCCGAGUCAUAUAGCUGGUACCUGGGGUGUAGGGUGGGGAUACCUCAGCAUGGGCCUGCUGA